UGUGGGUGCAGGUGCCGAGCCGCUCUGCCAUAUUUACCAGAGCCGCCAUUUUGUCGCUGUUGCCGCCGCGUCUCCGUGGGCGAGGCCUCGGGGAAUCUGCGGCCGCUGGAAGCCCUCGACCGGGAAAAGCGAUAAACUCGAGCGUCGGGCGGACGGGAGAGGGGGAAGUGAGUUAGUCCAGGGUGUGAUCUUUGAUCCGUGCGUCCCCUCGUUGUUUCCCCCACGCCACCGACUUGAGCCGGGCUCCCCGCCGCCGGCGGCGGCUGCUGCUGCUGCUGCGAUGGGCCGGUCUCGGAGUCGCAGCUCGUCGCGCUCGAAGCACGCCAAGAGCAGCAAGCACGGCAAGCGGCGGACCCGGUCGCACUCGCGGGACAAGGAGAGGCCGCGCAAACGCUCCAAGUCCCGGGAGAAGAAGAGCCGCCGGCACGCGGCCAACCGGGAGUCGCGCUCCCGCUCCCGCUGCCGGACCACCCCGGAGCGCAUCGACAUCUUCGGCCGCAACCUGAGCAAGAGGAGCAGCCUGGAUGAGAAACAGAAGCGGGAGGAGGAGGAGAAGAAAGCCGAGCUGGAGAGGCAGCGCAAGAUUCGACAGCAGGAAAUAGAAGAGAAGCUGAUUGAGGAAGAAACUGCAAGAAGGGUGGAAGAACUUGUGGCCAAACGUGUGGAAGAGGAGUUGGAGAAACGGAAAGAUGAGAUUGAGCGUGAGGUACUCCGCCGUGUCGAGGAGGCCAAGCGCAUUAUGGAAAAGCAAUUGUUGGAGGAGCUUGAGCGACAGCGACAUGCUGAGCUCGCUGCACAGAAAGCUAGAGAGGUAACGCUCGAUCGUUGGAAAAGCAAACGACAGUCCAUGGCAAAACUUUCAGUCGCAGUCAAUGGUCACCACUUAAUCUUCAGUAAAUGGAAUCAGAAUACAUCUUACCCUUUUCCAGCAGUCUGCAGUACCAUAGCUUUGUUUUUCAUAAGUUGUAUUUCUUCAGAUGUACAAAUGAACAUUUCAUAAUAGUUUAAGAUGCUAAAUGUAGUUUUUAAUUAGGCUACACAAAGCAUUGUUCCAUGGCAUUUGCUCUUUAAAUUCAAGAACUUUUGGUAAAAUAAUACUAAUGUUCCAGCAUAACCUCUGUUGAAAAUCUUUUCAGUUUAAUUGAAACUUUUGCCAUGGCUGCAGAAAUUUUUACCUAACCAUGCAAAAGCUCUUUUCUUUAAGGCUUUUCAGUCUCGCAAUUUGCCCUUCAUUUGUGUAAACACUUUGUAUUUCGUACUUAUUCCAAGUGGCUUAGUCUUUCCAAAGCUGAAGUAGGUCAAUGUGGUUGAACUUGCAGUGCUUGCUUAUGGCAAGUGGUUUAUGUUUGCAAUAUAUUCAUCUUGAAUAAGAUUAUAAAGGGGAAAUUUUACCUUGAGGUUUCUGAUAUCAGCCUCCAUUUUAUUCAAAGGAUUCUUGUGGGACUGGAGCUAGUCCUUUGUAACCCACCACCAGCGUGUAGUUAUAAGUACCUUUACCUCCCAAGAGGGCUAUUGGCGACUGGUGAGUCCCUCCUUGAAGCUAGACAUCCUAUAUAUUAUUUGGUCAUGGUACUAGAACCUGGAAAAUGUCUUCCUAUGAAAUAGUGAAUUGCUACUUUUAUUAAUUUUGCUAGCACUCAUCACUCCUGGAUUCUGAAAUGAAACGUUUAGUCUUACAGUACCUAGGUGACCAUACAACUUCAAAAAUGUAACAUUAACCAUUUGAGUAUAAAGUAAUUUAGGGAAGUGGUGGUGCAGGGUAAUUUCACUGGACAAUAGAACCCCGGCUAAUAUUUGGAAACAUGGGUUUGAAUCUCGCCACACCAGAUUUGAAUUCAGUAAAAAAGCUGGCUUAAUGGCAACCAGGUAACCCCUUGUGGAUUGCUGUAAAAGUACUUCAGGGAUGGAGAUCUGCUGUAUUCCAGACUCUCAGCUGUAUGGUUGACUUUACCUCCCUGUCAGCAAUUAGGAAUGAACAAUAAAUGAAGGCCUAGCCAGCAAAGCACUCAUCCUAUGAAUAUUUUUUAAAACCACCAUUUUAACAAUGUGUGCAUUUUCUUUCAAGUAAUAUAUUUAAACGUUAAUGUCAGGCAUUGUUAUAUAGAAUUAGGACUGAAGCACACAAUAGUGCUUUGUUUACUGUUUGUUUUAUCUGAUGUUACUUUGUGAAGUUUUUAUGGUGACAACCUGUUUAUACUGAGCAAAAAAUUGAAGCCCCAGUUCCAUUUUUGUAUAUUUAUGCCAAAUAUUUACACAUUAUGUCAGUGACAUUAUAAACAUUUAGAUGUUUAAUUUCCUUUGUUUUAUAAUUUUCAAAGGGUAUUAAUUUCCCUGAGAUUCUGCCCCUACCUUUUGGGAAGUUUGCAUCUUUUACAUAAUUGAUCAUAUUUACUUGUAAAUGGCAGAGGGAGAUAAUAGCAUAAUCUCAUGAUCUCAAAUUCAGACCUAAGGCUUAAUUUUGGAUCUUUGGUUCCCCUUUCCCGUUGUGUUUAUUUCAGUAUAUUUCACAUUCAUUUUAUGCCCUCCCCUAUUCGUCGACCUUCAUACCUCAAUUCAGACACAAACAAAAUCAAAGCCUAAACUUAGAAUUAAUGUAUAGAAUUAAUAUGACCUAAACACUUGGAAAAGAAAUCCAUGUGUAAAGUUAUUUACUUUGUAUAAAAUAUAAAAAUAUACUGAUAGCUUUAAUACCCCUCCUUUUCUGAAAGGUAAGAAUGAAUUAUAUCUGUUUGUCUUGUAUUGUCGUGUUGUUAACGCAUUUAGUGAUCGCCAGUGCAAAGCCAUUGGAUGAAAAGGACUUCAUAUUUUUCUUCAAAGGGAUGGUGGUUAGUUUGUUUUGCUGAUAAAGUGUACUGGUUAUUCCUCUAGGUAUAAAACCACCAGAAGUUUUGGCUACAUUGACUUACUGACGUAUUUUACAAGUAAUUAAGUUUUGGUAACUUGUAACUUCUUGCUUUAAUCAAUUGACAUCAAGUGAAGGAGAUUUUUUGUUUACACAGUUGGUCUAUCAGAAGAUUUGUCAUUUCAGAAUGUUCUUGUUUGCAGCAUUGAAGGGGGAAUCAUUCUACAUUUUCUUUACGUUUAAUGCAUCAAAGAGUGGCAUAAAAUGUGUUAGGAAAAUACUGUAGCUAAUUUACAUGACAUUUUCAUAAAAUUAAAGACCUUCAAAGUGAGUUUAUAUUCUGAAACACUAUUGUAAGUUGCAUGAUAGCCAGUGCUGCCUCAUUUUUGUGUUUUCUUUCCGUUUUAGUUGAAAACGUUCAGCGUAUUGAUUUACUGUAAGAUGUCUAUUAUGUUAUGAUUUGCAUUCUAACUUAUUUAUAUCCAGGCUAUUUUAAGUUCCAGGGUUGAUGAGUGUCAGCUUGUAGCACAUUACUAAUCAUAGUAAGAUCAUUUUUCUUUUUCAUGUUUCUUCAUAGUUUGCUUGGCUUCAUGUUAACAUUGUCAUCCUACAGACAAGGGCAAAUUUCCUGGGCCAUUCACAGUACAGAAAAUAUAAUUUUCCGUUCUGUGUACAUUGUGAAAUUGUUUACAUUAAACACCUGGAAGGUGUUUGUCUGAAUUCUGCAGCAGAGUAGUCUCCAAACGUUGAAGCAUAUUUAGUAGCUGAAGUAGAUCAUUAUAAAAUCUUUGGAUCCCAAAAUUAGUAUAAAUCAUUCAGCCUUUACUCAUCCCCUGUAAUAACAAAGUGCCUUGAUUUGAAAAGUUGCUUGAUCACCAGUAGCUUAAAUGGCGUUUAUGUUCUCAGAACGGAACAAACCAUCGUUUCUCCUACUGUGAAAGGUGCUCUCAGUUCCACACAAGGAUGGAUUAAAGUUUGUAUUUUUCACUAACAGUAAAUGUAUCUUUCUUAUUAAUUGUUUGCCUUAGGAAUGGUGAUUUAUAUUGUUUCUUCUUACCGUAAACAUCUGCAUUCCUCAGCUCAGCCUACGUUGUGUUGUGUUUCUUGUUAUUGGCUGAGCUGCUGAUGCAGGUGUUGCCAAGCUAACAGUACAAAUCAGUUUAAAGAGGAAGCUGGCGCAUAUGGCAGCCGAGGAGCACACUCUGCAGGACACUGGACGAGACAGAGGAAGAACGAGCUAAACGAGAAGAACUUGAGCGAAUAUUGGAGGAAAAUAAUCGAAAAAUAGCAGAAGCUCAAGCUAAAUUG